rnacentral:rRNA from 1 species
ACGAACGCUGGCGGCGUGCUUAACACCUGCCAGUCGCACGGAAAGGCCCUGCUUUUGUGGGGUGCUCGCGUGGCGAACGGGUGAGUAACACGUGAGUAACCUGCCCUUGACUUUGGGAUAACUUCAGGAAACUGGGGCUAAUACCGGAUAGGAGCUCCUGCUGCAUGGUGGGGGUUGGAAAGUUUCGGCGGUUGGGGAUGGACUCGCGGCUUAUCAGCUUGUUGGUGGGGUAGUGGCUUACCAAGGCUUUGACGGGUAGCCGGCCUGAGGGGGUGACCGGCCACAUUGGGACUGAGAUACGGCCCAGACUCCUACGGGAGGCAGCAGUGGGGAAUAUUGCACAAUGGGCGGAAGCCUGAUGCAGCAACGCCGCGUGCGGGAUGACGGCCUUCGGGUUGUAAACCGCUUUCGCCUGUGACGAAGCGUGAGUGACGGUAAUGGGUAAAGAAGCACCGGCUAACUACGUG